rnacentral:rRNA from 1 species
UACGUAGGGGGCUAGCGUUGUCCGGAAUUAUUGGGCGUAAAGAGCUUGUAGGCGGUUUGUCGCGUCUGCCGUGAAAAUCCGAGGCUCAACCUCGGACUUGCGGUGGGUACGGGCAGACUAGAGUGUGGUAGGGGAGACUGGAAUUCCUGGUGUAGCGGUGAAAUGCGCAGAUAUCAGGAGGAACACCGAUGGCGAAGGCAGGUCUCUGGGCCACUACUGACGCUGAGAAGCGAAAGCGUGGGGAGCGAACAGG